CCUCGUCAUCUUCAUCGUGAUGAAGUUUUGGAUGUCAGCUUUAGCCACCACUAUCCCAGUCCCCUGUGGUGCUUUCAUGCCUGUCUUUGUAAUAGGUGCUGCUUUUGGCAGGUUGGUGGGUGAGAGCAUGGCUGCUUGGUUUCCUGAGG